UCUUUGGGUUUUUGGGGGGAGUAUGGUCGCAAGGCUGAAAACUUAAAGGAAUUGNCCGGAAAGGGCACCCACCCAGGAGUGGAGCCUGCGGCUUAAUUUGACUCAACACGGGGAAACUUACCAGGUCAAAACAUGGGUGGGAUUGACAGAUUGAGAGCUCUUUCUUGAUUCUGUGGGUGGUGGUGCAUGGCCGUUCUUAGUUCGUGGAGUGAUUUGUCUGGUUAAUUCCGUUAACGGACGAGACCUUAACCUGCUAACUAGUUCCCGGCCAGUCCCUCCGGACGCGGGAGACUUCUUAGAGGGACUAUGCGGUUAUGAAACGCAUGGAAGUUUGAGGCAAUAACAGGUCUGUGAUGCCCUUAGAUGUCCUGGGCCGCACGCGCGCUACAAUGACACGCUCAGCAAGCACUUAUCCUGGCCCGGGAGGGUUCGGGUAAUCUUAAUAAUACGUGUCGUGUUAGGGAUCGAUCUUUGCAACUUUGGAUCUUGAACGAGGAAUCCUAGUAAGUGCAAGCAUCAGCUGACGAUAC
rnacentral:rRNA from 1 species